rnacentral:rRNA from 1 species
GAUGAACGCUGGCGGCGUGCCUAAUACAUGCAAGUCGAGCGAACAGACGAGGAGCUUGCUCCUCUGACGUUAGCGGCGGACGGGUGAGUAACACGUGGAUAACCUACCUAUAAGACUGGGAUAACUUCGGGAAACCGGAGCUAAUACCGGAUAAUAUAUUGAACCGCAUGGUUCAAUAGUGAAAGACGGUUUUGCUGUCACUUAUAGAUGGAUCCGCGCCGCAUUAGCUAGUUGGUAAGGUAACGGCUUACCAAGGCAACGAUGCGUAGCCGACCUGAGAGGGUGAUCGGCCACACUGGAACUGAGACACGGUCCAGACUCCUACGGGAGGCAGCAGUAGGGAAUCUUCCGCAAUGGGCGAAAGCCUGACGGAGCAACGCCGCGUGAGUGAUGAAGGUCUUCGGAUCGUAAAACUCUGUUAUUAGGGGAGAACAAAUGUGUAAGUAACUAUGCACGUCUUGACGGUACCUAAUCAGAAAGCCACGGCUAACUACGU